CUUACUCUAUCCCUCACUCUUCUCACUCUUUAUCUCUUCCGCCUCCUACAUCGUUGCCUCUGGUGGCGCCAUCGGCAACCACCACUGUCGCCGCCUUCACGAUGGCGCCGCCUCCACCUCCUCACUCACUGCCUUCUCUCUCUUCUCCUAUUCUCUUCACCUAUCUUCACCAGUCGUCUACUUCGUUUUCCCCACUCUCGUUGUCAGUUCAAGCUUUGUUAGUUCGUCUUCAUUGUCGUCGGGUAACAAGCAUCGCCGUCAGCGCACAAGAGCACCACCGUCGCAACACCGUCGAUCCAUUACCCCAAGUAUCUCUGUCUCUCUCGCCCUCUCUAUCUCGCUCUGUCCCCUUCUCUGUAUGUCCCGCCGACUGGGGAUUCUUAAGAGAUUGACUUCUUGAAGUUCAAGCCUUGCAGUAGCAGCAGUGGCAAUAUUUGUUUCAACAAAAACAAACAGUGGACACUAAGAAAGCAAUUUCUCUUCUCAUCCAACAUAUGGAAAAGACAAAAGGUUGAAUCUUUUCUACCCAUGGAAGGUAAUAUUUUGAGUUAUGUUUUGAUUAUUAUUAUUAUUUUAAUCACUCUGUUUUUAUUCUUGUAUUUGUCUACCUAAGAUAUGCACUUAAUGACUUCACUCAUUGCUUUUGAUUAGAUCUGAUACUUGAUUUUACAAGUUUUUGGGAUUUCUUCAGUUGUUUUAUGUACGUAAUGGGUUAGGUCAAUGUUGUUCCUUAUAUUUACCAUUAUUCUGAGUUGCUACUGAUCCUUUCAUGUAGGAUACUGGUGUGGCGUUUACUACUUUGGACAGUUUACCUUGUGGCAUCAUUCAAGCCAGGUUAGAUUUGGAGUUAAAACCUCUAUGGUCAAAAAGUAGUUCAAAGUCAAAGGUUAGGUUUUGAUCUUGGUAUACUUUGGAAACAAUACACAAACUUCCUUAGAAUCAUGUAUUUUGUCUUCAAGUCACAAACUUUAAUUCACAACGAGGGUUGUUAUUAUUAUUUUUUAAAUAUAUAAACAGUAACAUUUUAAAGUGGUGUUAGUUAUGUAGAAGAUCAGUACUUCAUACUUGUUGCCAUCGUGCAUCUUUUCUUCACUUUUCAGGUUAAUGUUUCAAGCUUUCAUAUCUUCCUGGCAAUUCCAGUUGGUAUUAAACAAAAAAGUAAUGUUGAUGACAUUGUUCAAAAGGUAUAACUGUAUAACUGUUUAUUAAUGGUUGGCGUUUAAAAUCUAUAUCAGUUGUUAACUUAAGACAUGUCAUUUUGUUGACAUUAUUUGCCUAAUUUUAGUGAAUUCAGUUUCUUUUAGAGAAUUUUACAAUUAUGUUAGUCCAUUAUGAUGGGAACGUGGAUGGAUGGCGGGAACUGCUUAGUCAUAUGAUUUUGUCUAUCAUAUAUGUUCGGGCCCUAACAUAGUUUUUCUAUUUUACCUUUUCAGCGCUACCAAUAUCAUCUCUCUGCCCAUUCCUUUAUUUCAUGGUGAGUAUAUAUUUUACCUUUUCAACGCUACCGUUUCAGCUAUAUUUCUAGCAGGUCUGCUACUCUAAUUUUUUUGGAUAUCUUUUGUUACAAUAAUCUUUAAUUUCUAUGAGGUUAGUUACUCAAUAAUAUUGACAGCAGGUUUGUCCAAUUUAAUUGCUUUAUUGAUGUUUAUAUUAUUAAUUCUUACAAUUUGUGCUUGAAACAUUGUCUUUGAAGCAUUGUGUUUUCUUAAUAGGCUCACAUUAGGCAGCUUGACGACUUCCUUAGGACCUUUCAUAUCCAAACAUUAUGGUUUGUCUUAGAAGGAAUUGAUGAAGGAUCCCUAAAUGGAGCUGUAGAUCGUGCAUUUUCUCACUAUCAAGAGAGGGAUGAAGAGUCAGUGUGAUGAGAAAAUGUCCAAUUUUGUCUUUUGUAAGACAAUAACAGUCUCUACAAAAAUACACAAGUAAUGAGGAAGCUAUUGCACAAGCACUGGAUAUGGCAGACGACCAAAGGAAAGCAGCACUGAUCAAACUUGUAGCGUAUUAGCAGCAGCUCAUCAAGAGUUUCAACUAAAAAGUUUUCCCAAGGCAAUUCACACCUGGAGAACUGGUUUUGAGGAAAGUUGUGGAUCACAAAAAGGUGCCUGGCGAAGGAAAACUUGGACCUAAUUGGGAAGGUUCAUACAAAGUCACAGUCGUUGCUGGAAAUGGAGCUUACUACCUAGGGGAUCUCAAAGGCAGAGCCAUACCUCGGCCCUAGAAUGUACCAAAUCUCAAGACAUACUAUCAAUAGAAUUAUCCCCUAGCUUCUCUAUCAGAGUGUAAAGACAUUUAUCUUUUGAUCAAUGCAAAUGCCUCCCUACUUCUCUCAAAUUUUUA